GACGAACGCUGGCGGCGUGCUUAACACAUGCAAGUCGAACGAAGUGGCGAACGGGUCAGUAACGCGUAAUCAACCUGCCCUUCAGAGGGGGCCAACAGUUGGAAACGACUGCUAAUACCGAAUACUGCAGGAGGGGAUUGCGUCUGAUUUGCUAGUUGGAGGGGUAACGGCCCACCAAGGCGAUGAUCAGUAGCCGGUCUGAGAGGAGGAACGGAAACAUUGGGACUGAGACCCGGCCCAGACGACUACGGGAGGCAGCAGUGGGGAAUCUUACGCAAUGGAAGAAAGGCUGACGGAGCAACGCCGCGUGAGUGAGGACGGCCGUCGGGUUGUAAAGCUCUGUUAAUCGGGACGCGGUACCGGAAUAGAAAGCCACGGCUAACUACGUGCCAGCAACCGCGGUAAUAC
rnacentral:rRNA from 1 species